UCAAGAGGAUCCGUGACCAGAGCUGUGUAGCUAAUGUUUGCUAACAGCUAACACUACAUUAGGUACCACCACGGUUGGUUCGGUUACUAUUAGCACCCGGGAGACAUCACAUCUUUACAAGAAAGUUGGGACAAUCGAGUGUUUAUUGGCAGCACUGAAUGAGUGACAGCAGCCACUUUGACUUGUCGUAGCAGCCCACUCCCCAGUGCACUUCCUCUAUUCAGACCUCAGCUCACACUUCUGCAACCUUCAGUUGCCUUCAGUGUGCACGUCUAAAGAAGUCACACAUGGCCAUUGAACCCUGGCAGGAAACAGGAUGACCGGCGCCCUCAGAGUAACUCAUGAACUGAAGUCAGGGAAAGUGAGAGACAGGCGCACAAAACGAACCAUAGACAGAUACUGUUGCUUUCAAACGUGCCUUCACUGAGUGCAGACUGUGGUCCCUCUAUUAGUUACAGGCCUGGUGCCAAGUACACAAAGACCAGUGUGAUUUGCUGAUGUCAGGAGAGAAUAUGGCCUGUCUACCUGUUUCAGUCCUACCUGUCCCAGUCGGCUUACAGUCCACUACUGUGCCAUGAUACAAUUUGAGAUUUGUGUGAUUAGCCAAUUAAAUGUUCUGACCUUUGCUAGUCAGCACCAGAAACAGUAGUCAGUUCAACUUAUUACUUAUACACAUUAAAAAUUUACGUGGCUUGCACUGA